rnacentral:rRNA from 1 species
CGUACCUACGGGACGCAGCAGUGGGGAAUAUUGCACAAUGGGGGAAACCCUGAUGCAGCGACGCCGCGUGAGUGAAGAAGUAUUUCGGAAUGUAAAGCUCUAUCAGCAGGGAAGAUAAUGACGGUACCUGACUAAGAAGCCCCGGCUAACUACGUGCCAGCAGCCGCGGUAAUACGUAGGGGGCAAGCGUUAUCCGGAUUUACUGGGUGUAAAGGUUGCGUAGGUGGCAGGGCAAGUCAGAUGUGAAAGCCCGGUGCUCAACCCCGGUACUGCAUUUGAAAUUGUCCAGCUGUAGUGCAG